GGUAAUUUUUGUAUUUUAGUAGAGACGGGCUUUCACCAUGUUGGUCAGGCUGGUCUCAAACUCCUGACCUUGUGAUCCAUCUGCCCUGUCCUCCCAAAGUGCUGGGAUUACAGGCAUAAGCCACUGCACCAAGCCCAAUAAAGUUCUCUUUACAAAAACAGGCAUCUGGUCAGAUUGGGUCCACGGGCUGUUUAUUGAUACACACUAAACACAAUUUUCUCCUAAUCCUAGACCCAGCAUUUUCUGCAUUACACUAGCCCAGUGGUCCUUUCUGAAACUACACUGUUCAAGUUACAGACAUAUUUAAAUGUUUAAAUUUAAAAUGUUAAAUUUAACAUUUUAACAUGUUUAAAUGUUCAUAGACACAUACAACCUGCACUUUUACUCUUUGAGAAAUGAAUGCAGUAAAUUUACUUAGCUUUCUGAGGGAAAUGAUAGCCUGAAGGCAUGACGUUUUCAAAUACCCCAAACUCCAACUAAGAUAACCUGGAACCUAUUAAAUGGAUAUCCAACAUUUUGUACUGAACUCUAAGGAUAUGAACACCAGGACAAUGGUUAUUCUGAGGCACAGAAAAUACAGCCAAAGCAGCAGCUCAGUAUGUACCCCGACAGUGCCUAGAAGAGACUUAUGUGGGAGACAAAGUUUCUGGUCAGGUGUAUUUGUAUACUUCAUCAGGCAUAUGCCUUGCAUUACAUAGCUCUCGCCCCCAACUUGGCAACAUCUUAUUGGUUUUCAGAAUAUACUGAUGACGGAUUGCCAAAAGAGCUCAUGAAUGAAUAUUUUCCAUUCUAAGGAAACUUUUUUUCUUUUUGAGACGGAGUUUCACUAUUGUUGCCCAGGCUGGAGUGCGAUGGGGCGGUCUUGGCUCACUGCAACCCCCAUCUCCCAGGUUCAAGCGAUUCUCCUGCCUCAGCCUCUCAAAUAGCUGCAAUUACAGGUGCCGCCACCACGCCCAGCUAGUUUUUAUAUUUUUGGUAGAGAUGGGGUUUCACCAUGUUGGCCAGGCUGGUCUCAAGCUCCUGACCUCAGGUGAUCUGCCUGCCUUGGCCUCCCAAAGUGCUGGGAUUGCAGGCAUGACCUACUGCACCCAGACCACUUUUUUUUUUUUUAAAAGAGAUGGAGUUUCCUUUAUCUGUUGCCCAGUUAUCUAGUUUACUCUUACCCAAGUAUAAAUGAUAUGAAACAAUCUGAGACUAGUCAGUCAACUGUCCUUGGUAAGAUCUCCUUCUUGACAGCCAUGUGGAUUCUAUCACACCCUUUAUAAUUUACAGCAAUCUUCAGUGGUUAAAGCAAAACUGUACAUCUAUAAAGGAAUUCAAGAGAAGUGCAGGAAAAGGAUGACAAAAGGUAAAUCCCUAGCUACCACCAGAAUUGCUUGGGUAUAACUGACCUAGAACAUGGCAGUUACUCAUCUGUGC
rnacentral:lncRNA from 1 species